rnacentral:sRNA from 1 species
AUUAGUUUCUCGUAGUUAUCUGCUCAUGCAAAAGCGUAUUCGUGCUAAGGUGGCUGAUGAGAAGUAUUACAAAUCUGUGAACGAACCGAUGCCGGGCGUGAAAUGGGGGGAAUUUAAGAUUUUUGUGCUGGGGAUAGGUUUUUACGCCGCAA